ensembl:processed_transcript
CCUGAUGUUUUUGUGAGGAGCAGCAGUGUAUCUGGACAUGAAGGUGAUGAUGUCAGAGUUCAGUGUUUCUACAGUUCAGGAUAUAAGGCUAAAAACAAACAGUGGUGCAGAGUUAAAGAUAAGAGCUGUUUCACAGAGAAAAAGACUGACACAUCCCAGAAUUCAUCAGUGCAGAUCAGUGAUGAUGGUGAAAGCUCCUUCACUGUGCUGAUGACUGGACUGAGACUCUCUGAUUCUGGAUGGUAUUUCUGCUCUGUUGGAAAUCUGCAGGUUCCUGUUCAACUCACUGUCACUAAACCUAGACCCAAA